AACAAAGCUGAUUCGGAAAACCAAUUAACUCAGACAAAUUAAAUAAAGCCAUUGAUGUGAUAAAUAAUGAUAACAUUUUAAAAUAGAGAAAAUGAGGAUAAAACAACUGGUGAAACCCAAGCUGUUUGGUACCAAUCAGUAUUUUGGGAACUACCGCAACAAUAAUAGUGUUGUUGAAAUUGAUUCCAAAAUAAUCGCCAGUUUCUAUUUGUGGCAUAUUUGCAGAGACUUGCGGUCAAGAUGUUUUCUACUUCUCCAGAAAUUGUUUGUAAAGUAUAUUGUAAAUUGGCACAAUAACAAAUAAGUACCACAGCUUCGACUGCAGUUACCAUAAUAUAAGAUUUCAGUUUUA